rnacentral:tRNA from 1 species
UCCCUGAAGGUCCAGUGGCUAAGACUCUGUGCUCCCAAUGCAGGAGGCCUAGGUUCAAUGCCUGGUCAGGGAA